UAUAUACUCCCUCCGUCCCAAAAUUCUUGUCUUAGAUUUGUCUAGAUACGGAUGUAUCUAAUACUAAAAUGUGACUUGAUACAUCCAUAUUUAGACAAAUCUAAGACAAGAAUUUUGGGACUGAGGGAAUAUAUC
rfam:Triticum aestivum genome assembly, contig: Triticum_aestivum_CS42_TGACv1_scaffold_642502_T_7AS-0.121969_5DL-0.063968